CAGUAGCCGCGGGAACACGAAGGGUGCAAGCGUUAAUCGGAAUUACUGGGCGUAAAGCGUGCGUAGGCGGUGAGUUAAGUCUGCUGUGAAAUCCCCGGGCUCAACCUGGGAAUGGCAGUGGAUACUGGCUCGCUAGAGUGUGUCAGAGGAUGGUGGAAUUCCCGGUGUAGCGGUGAAAUGCGUAGAGAUCGGGAGGAACAUCAGUGGCGAAGGCGGCCAUCUGGGACAACACUGACGCUGAGGCACGAAAGCGUGGGGAGCAAACAGGAUUAGUUACCCCAGUAGUCCCUGUCUCUUAUAC
rnacentral:rRNA from 1 species